rnacentral:rRNA from 1 species
ACGGAAGGCAGCAGUAGGGAAUAUUGCACAAUGGGGGAAACCCUGAUGCAGCGACGCCGCGUGAGUGAUGAAGUAUUUCGGUACGUAAAGCUCUAUCAGCAGGGAAGAUAAUGACGGUACCUGACUAAGAAGCCCCGGCUAACUACGUGCCAGCAGCCGCGGUAAUACGUAGGGGGCAAGCGUUAUCCGGAUUUACUGGGUGUAAAGGGAGCGUAGGUGGCCUGGCAAGCCAGAUGUGAAAGCCCGCGGCUCAACCGCGGGACUGCAUUUGGAACUGUUAGGCUUGAGUGCAGGAGAGGAAAGUGGAAUUCCUAGUGUAGCGGUGAAAUGCGUAGAUAUUAGGAGGAACACCAGUGGCGAAGGCGGCUUUCUGGACUGUAACUGACGUUGAGGCUCGAAAGCGUGGGGAGCAAACAGGAUUAGAUACCCUGGUA